UACUCCAAAACACAGGUAACUGUACUCCAAAACACAGGCAACUGUACUCCAAAACACAGUUAACUAUACUCCAAAACACAGGUAACUGUACUCCAAAACACAGGUAACUGUACUCGAAAACACAGGCAACUGUACUCCAAAACACAGGCAACUGUACUCCAAAACACAGGUAACUAUACUCCAAAACACAGGUAACUGUGCUCCAAAACACAGGUAACUGUACUCCAAAACACAGGUAACAAUAUUCCAAAACACAGGCAACUGUGCUCCAAAACACAGGUAACAAUAUUCCAAAAUACAGGUAAC